rnacentral:rRNA from 1 species
UACGUAGGGUGCAGGCGUUAAUCGGAAUUACUGGGCGUAAAGGGCUCGUAGGCGGCCAACUAAGUCGGAUGUGAAAUCCCCAGGCUCAACUUGGGAACUGCAUCCGAUACUGGAUGGCUUGAAUCCGGGAGAGGGAUGCAGAAUUCCAGGUGUAGCGGUGAAAUGCGUAGAUAUCUGGAGGAAUACCGGUGGCGAAGGCGGCAUCCUGGACCGGCAUUGACGCUGAUGAGCGAAAGCUAGGGGAGCAAACGGG